AACUUCUGGUUCUUUAGUCUUGUCCCGUUCUCUUGUAGAACGUUGUGACGAGUCUUAGAACCUUCCUGGUUGAAAGCGCUUCUGCCCUUUAUUGGGUUGGUUGUGUGAUCUGCCUCUUUUACUGUGAGAAAAACAAAGUGCUCAAAGCAGGCUUUACAGCUUGAAUGCGUUAGCAUGGAAUAAUAAGAUAAGACUUUGGUUUUAUUUUGUUGGCUAUGAAACCAAAGUAAUGAUUAAAAGGGAUAGUUGGGGGUGCUAGUAUUUAAUGGUCAGCGGUGAAAUGCGUGGACCCAUUAAAGACUAACUUAUGCGAAAGCAUU
rnacentral:rRNA from 1 species